CCCUUAGAUGUUCUGGGCCGCACGCGUGCUACACUGAGUGGAUCAGCGGGUCAGGUUGCGCGAAAGUGUUUCCUAAUCUUUAAAUCCGCUCGUGAUGGGGAUUGACGGUUGCAAUUUUCCGUCAUGAACGAGGAAUACCUUGUAAGCGCGGGUCAUCAUCCCGCGCUGAAUACGUCCCUGCCCUUUGUACACACCGCCCGUCGCUCCUACCGAUUGAGUGGUCCGGUGAGGCUUUGGGAUCUGAGCGGAAAGAGCGUUUCGCUGUUUCUGCCCGGAAAACUCAGUCGAACCUUAUCAUUUAGAGGAAGGAGCAGUCGUAACA
rnacentral:rRNA from 1 species